UGGGGAAUUUUGGACAAUGGGGGCAACCCUGAUCCAGCCAUGCCGCGUGAGUGAAGAAGGCCUUCGGGUUGUAAAGCUCUUUUGGCGGGGAAGAAAGGACUCUUUCUAAUACAGAGGGUUUUUGACGGUACCCGCAGAAUAAGCACCGGCUAACUACGUGCCAGCAGCCGCGGUAAUACGUAGGGUGCGAGCGUUAAUCGGAAUUACUGGGCGUAAAGAGUGCGUAGGUGGUUCGUUAUGUCUGCUGUGAAAGCCCCGGGCUUAACCUGGGAACUGCAGUGGAAACUGGCGAGCUUGAGUAUGGCAGAGGGGGGUGGAAUUCCGCGUGUAGCAGUGAAAUGCGUAGAGAUGCGGAGGAACACCGAUGGCGAAGGCAGCCCCCUGGGCUACUACUGACACUGAGGCACGAAAGCGUGGGGAGCAAACA
rnacentral:rRNA from 1 species